GGGAGGGUGAGGACAUAAGACUCUGCAUGUUAGAAGUGACAGUGACUGCACUUCUUGGAAGUCUCUCUGGAAGGGAGUGAGAAAGGCAGAAAAUGAGGAGGAAGAUCCUGUGAAGAAUUUGCCUGUGCCAGCUUCUACCUAGUAAGGUAGAUGGACAGAAGUGUUUUCCUGGCCCGUUAACUCUACCUGACGCAUACUCUGCAGAAGGACAUGGCUGAGAUUGAGAAUGUCUUUCAAGGAAACUCCAGAAGCAAUCAAGCAUGCCACCUGGUCCAUAUCUGUCUUUCACACUUAGCUUUUAGUAAUUAAUUGUCACAAGUACAAUCAUUGAGAAGUAUGCUCCAAAUACGUCCUGUGAUUCAGAUCCUGGAGCAGACGUCUCGGCUGAUUUCUGGGACAAAGCCUGUGCAAGUAGUAGUAUUGUGCAUCAUGUUUUAGAAGGAAACCAGUAUGUUCAGGUAAGAAAAGUGAGGUGCUCUUCCACAGCAUUGGGUGAUCAAGAGAUCAGAGCUGUAGGAUGCACCUCAGAGCAUGUGGCAUGGAGAUAUGGAUAAAAUUGUUAGUGAGACGUAUAUGUGCAGGGACUUUGAGCAUCUGGGCCUAGCUAUAUAGGCCUGAAGAAUGUGUGAAUGAAU
rnacentral:lncRNA from 1 species